AUUGAACGCUGGCGGCAUGCCUUACACAUGCAAGUCGAACGGAUCAGAGGAGCUUGCUCUUCUGGUUAGUGGCGAACGGGUGAGUAAUGCAUCGGAACGUACCCAGUAGUGGGGGAUAACGUAGCGAAAGUUACGCUAAUACCGCAUACGACCUGAGGGUGAAAGCAGGGGAUCGCAAGACCUUGCGCUAUUGGAGCGGCCGAUGUCGGAUUAGCUAGUUGGUAGGGUAAAAGCCUACCAAGGCGACGAUCCGUAGCUGGUCUGAGAGGACGACCAGCCACACUGGGACUGAGACACGGCCCAGACUCCCACGGGAGGCAGCAGUGGGGAAUUUUAGACAAUGGGGGAAACCCUGAUCCAGCCAUGCCGCGUGAGUGAAGAAGGCCUUCGGGUUGUAAAGCUCUUUCAGACGGAAAGAAAUCUUCCGGGCUAAUACCUCGGGAGGAUGACGGUACCGUAAGAAGAGGCACCGGCUAACUACGUGCCAGCCGCCGCUGUAA
rnacentral:rRNA from 1 species